CACGGUGAUUUCAUAUUGUACAAGAACUUGGAAAGGUACUUUGAGGUUCACAGCAGGCAGUGGACUUGUAAUGAAGGUGUUACCUGCAACUGUGGAGUAGUUUUGAGGGAUCAUAAUGAUGUUAUCGAAUUUAACUGCUGCAAUGACCUCAUGAAACGGGAUGAGACAACUCCGAUAAGAGUUAAAAUUCGAAGUAACAAAUGUCUGUCCCCGGGAAUCUCCAUUAAGAAGUUGCAGCCAGGCGUAACGAGCGCCAAAUAUCAGGUGAUGUUUCCUUCAGGAGCAAAAGUCGAAAUACAAAGGUCAUAUUGGGGGAUGAACAUUAAUCUUUACAUCCCAAGGGCUAAAGUUCUAUCCAAGGAAUCUGGCCUCUGCAUAUACCCGCCAAAAGGACAAGACGCUAAUACUUACGGCGAAAGU